rnacentral:lncRNA from 10 species
CCUGGACCCGCCUUUUAAACGCUUAUUCUGUCUAACUCCUUUGUCUCCGCCAGACUCAGGGUACCCACUGGGUGGUGUGGGGCUGUUUUGCCCAACACCUGGUGCCCAAUGUGGGGCCCCCCAUAAUCUCUACAAAGUGAAGAUUACACCAGAAGAUUACACCAGUGAAGAAACACCAGAGCAUGGACAGUGCAGGACGACUGACGAAGGACGCCCGAGUACGUUUUUACUUCAGGCUCCACAGAUAACCUGAACAUCUUCACAGGAAAUCUAUGAAAAAAUUCACAGAACACAGAAAUAAAAGGUAAGUCAUGAAGGGUAGCAGGAUAUAAGAUCAAUAAACAAAAGUGGCGUUUAAAUGUCAUAGAAAUUCAGGAAAAUUUUAAUCAAGGGAGUAAAUAUGAUAUGAUUGAGGUUUGGAAAGAUUUUUCUGGUUCUUAUUUUUUUCUCUUGGACUAAUUUUCAUGCCAAAUGGACAUUGGAAUCUUUUACUCUGGAGCUUUCAGUCAAACAUGAAUCCUUAUGUGCUCCCACCCCACCACCACCCCUGGAGAAAAGUAUAUAAAAAUUAAUAUUGAUUCUGUGAAGAAAAUGGCACUUUUUACAUUUCCUUGGAUCAAAUUUGUCAAAGUCAUUUCAUCCAUUAACAAGCUUUCUAAUUUGGUUGAUUUACAAAUUCCUGAGAACAAGCAAAAUGUGCUUAUCCACUGCAUAGCACCUAUCAGUAUAUAUUCAAAGGGAAUAUAGAGAGGAUAUUAACCAAAUAUGCCUAAUUACUAAUGACUGAUGAGGCAAAAGUCUGGUAAUCUUGAAACAACACCUACCUUUCGUGAUUUAAAUUGAAGAUAACAUAUCUAAAUUUUAAUUACAAUCAAAGUCAAAACCAAAAGAUAGCAAGUAAAGCUGGAACGUCCCUUAGGUGAUUAAAGAAUGCCUUCCAAUUUAUUACAUUUAGCUAAUAAGUUAGACAAAGGAUUUUGUUGUCUUGCUUUUCCAUUACUUACAGUUCCUGUUAUCAAGAGUGUUAAGUUUCUAUUAACUCCUGUAACACUCUGGCAAUGAGGUAAAAUGCAAAAGUAUGGAUAGUUACAGAGGUUUGAAAAUUGGUUUCUCUGAUUUUCUAAAAGAUGACUGGGAGCUUGAUUUAUGCUCAUUCAUUGAAGAGUAUUAAUACUAUUACCAUGAGUAAGUAGAAGCCACUUUGAUCCAGUACGAUGUUUAACCAAUUUUUUAAAAUUAUUUUUAUUAAUUAAAUAAGUAUUUUAAAUUAUUAAUUAAAUAAUUGUUUAUGCAAACUUGUUUUAACUUCU